UACGUAGGGGGGCAAGCGUUAUCCGGAAUCAUUGGGCGUAAAGCGCGUGUAGGCGGUUCCGUAAGUCCGCUCUGAAAGCCCCAGGGCUCAACCCUUGGGAGGCGGGUGGAUACUACGGAACUGGAGUACGGAAGAGGAGAUUGGAAUUCCUGGUGUAGCGGUGAAAUGCGCAGAUAUCAGGAGGAACACCAGUGGCGAAGGCGGCUUACUGGUCCGGUACUGACGCUGAGGUGCGAAAGCGUGGGGAGCAAACAGG
rnacentral:rRNA from 1 species